rnacentral:lncRNA from 1 species
GCUCGGCCCUUAGUCUGCUUCUUUUGUGCUUUCAAGGGUUUCUUAGGUUUUUCUUUUCUUUUAUAUAUAAUCGCAUUACAAUAAUGUGUUAUAUGAGGAUGGAUAUAUUUCGUCUUUUACAAUAUCAUGUUUCGGCUUGGGACUUCGGAAUUUGCUUUUUUUUUUUUGGAGGGGGAGACAGAAGUUGACUUUUAAGCAUCGGAAAUUUCUAAAAUCAUCAUAAUCAGAUUAGAUUGGUGGAAGUCUCUAAAAUUAGUUUCUUACAAUUAGCUUCUGAGUUGAGAGAAUUGUUUGACUAAAUAUUAGUAAAAAUAUAUUUAGUUAACAACUUUUACUUUAAAACAAAUUUAUUUAAGAGUGGAUUUUUAAAAUGACCACUUUCAUAUUGUAAAGAUAAAAAAUGUCCACUGUUACCAAAAUACCCUUCACAUUAAAAAUUAAAAAAAUGUCCACUUUACAUCACCC